rnacentral:snoRNA from 3 species
CCUGCACACUGUUAAAGCUUGAUGCUCAGGUCAGCUUCUGGCCAAUGAGCUCUCAAGUGUCGGAAGUGUGCUACAGCAAACCAGAUGGCAGGGUUUUUGGUAAUGCCAGGAGAGGAGCUCCCUCAAUGAUUGGGAUUUAAUAGUAGGCCCUGCCACAUGU